rfam:Blautia sp. An249 An249_contig_7, whole genome shotgun sequence.
AGCGAAGUAGGAAUUUAUGCGUUAAGUGUUCACAGGCUGGGGAGUUGCCGUGAAACGAAAAGUCUACAGAAGUAAGUAGCUUACGAUAUAUUUUCCGCACCCGUUGCU